rnacentral:rRNA from 1 species
GACGAACGCUGGCGGCGUGCCUAACACAUGCAAGUCGAACGGAACUGUUUUGAAAGCUUUCUUCGGAAUGAAUUUGAUUUAGUUUAGUGGCGGACGGGUGAGUAACGCGUGAGUAACCUGCCUUCAAGAGGGGAAUAACAUUCUGAAAAGAAUGCUAAUACCGCAUGACAUAUCGGAACCACAUGGUUUUGAUAUCAAAGAUUUUAUCGCUUGAAGAUGGACUCGCGUCCGAUUAGUUAGUUGGUGAGGUAACGGCUCACCAAGACCGCGAUCGGUAGCCGGACUGAGAGGUUGAACGGCCACAUUGGGACUGAGACACGGCCCAGACUCCUACGGGAGGCAGCAGUGGGGGAUAUUGCGCAAUGGGGGCAACACUGACGCAGCAACGCCGCGUGAAGGAUGAAGGUUUUCGGAUUGUAAACUUCUUUUAUUAAGGACGAAAAAUGACGGUACUUAAUGAAUAAGCUCCGGCUAACUACGUG